rnacentral:pre_miRNA from 1 species
UAACUACUCCCUCCGUUUCAAAUUACUCGUCGCAGAAAUAGAUGUAUCUAGAACUAAAAUACAUCUAGAUACAUCCAUUUCUGCGACGAGUAAUUCGGAACGGAGGGAGUACAUA